rnacentral:rRNA from 1 species
GACGAACGCUGGCGGCGUGCUUAACACAUGCAAGUCGAACGGAAAGGCCCCGUUUUGGGUGCUUGCGCGGGUGACGGGCGGGUGAGAAGCGCGUAAGCUACCCGUGACUUUGGGAUAAAUACCGGCAACUGGGGGGGAUUCCUGCUAGGUACGCCCUCCUGCUGGUUGGGGGUGGAUAGUUAUUUUCGGCGGGUGGGGAUGGACUCGCGGCUUAUCAGCUUGUUGGUGGGGUAGUGGCUCACCAAGGCUUUGACGGGUAGCCGGCCUGAGAGGGUGACCGGCCACAUUGGGACUGAGAUACGGCCCAGACUCCUACGGGAGGCAGCAGUGGGGAAUAUUGCACAAUGGGCGGAAGCCUGAUGCAGCAACGCCGCGUGCGGGAUGACGGCCUUCGGGUUGUAAACCGCUUUCGCCUGUGACGAAGCGUGAGUGACGGUAAUGGGUAAAGAAGCACCGGCUAACUACGUG